rnacentral:rRNA from 1 species
ACUCCUACGGGAGGCAGCAGUGGGGAAUAUUGCACAAUGGGGGAAACCCUGAUGCAGCCAUGCCGCGUGUGUGAAGAAGGCCUUCGGGUUGUAAAGCACUUUCAGUAGGGAGGAAGGUAGUGUAGUUAACACCUGCACUAUUUGACGUUACCUACAGAAGAAGCACCGGCUAACUCCGUGCCAGCAGCCGCGGUAAUACGGAGGGUGCGAGCGUUAAUCGGAAUUACUGGGCGUAAAGCGCAUGCAGGCGGCCUGUUAAGUCAGAUGUGAAAGCCCGGGCUUAACCUCGGAAUUGCAUUUGAAACUGGCAGGCUAGAGUCUUGUAGAGGGGGGUAGAAUUUCAGGUGUAGCGGUGAAAUGCGUAGAGAUCUGAAGGAAUACCAGUGGCGAAGGCGGCCCCCUGGACAAAGACUGACGCUCAGAUGCGAAAGCGUGGGGAGCAAACAGGAUUAGAUACCCUGGUAGGAUAGCG